UGAAAGUGUACGUUGCUGCACCGGUAUAUUUAAAUUACAGAUGAGGCAUUUGGAAUGUUUGUCGUCUGCCCAGCAGACGGUCAAUUCGCCAAACAUUUUCGAGUGAACUUUGACUAAAAUUUUUGAAAAAGAUGUGUUAGAAUUUGUGAUAAAUAUACAAUUUUGAAUUCAUAACACUAGUAUCAUCAUUCAUAAUUUGGGAGAGAAAUUUCCCUGCAGACGGUCAAAUCGACAAUAAUUCUAGAGAG
rnacentral:lncRNA from 1 species